rnacentral:rRNA from 1 species
GAUGAACGCUGGCGGCGUGCCUAAUACAUGCAAGUCGAGCGAAUGGAUUAAGAGCUUGCUCUUAUGAAGUUAGCGGCGGACGGGUGAGUAACACGUGGGUAACCUGCCCAUAAGACUGGGAUAACUCCGGGAAACCGGGGCUAAUACCGGAUAAUAUUUUGAACUGCAUGGUUCGAAAUUGAAAGGCGGCUUCGGCUGUCACUUAUGGAUGGACCCGCGUCGCAUUAGCUAGUUGGUGAGGUAACGGCUCACCAAGGCAACGAUGCGUAGCCGACCUGAGCGAGUGAUCGGCCACACUGGGACUGAGGCACGGCCCAGACUCCUACGGGAGGCAGCAGGAGGGAAUCUUCCGCAAGGGACGGAAGUCUUACGGAGCAACGCCGCGUGAGUGAUGAAGGCUUUCGGGUCGUAGAACUCUGUUGUUAGGGAAGAACAAGUGCUAGUUGAAUAAGCUGACACCUUGACGGUACCUAACCAGAAAGCCACGGCUAACUACGUGCCAGCAGCCGCCGUAA